rnacentral:rRNA from 1 species
UCAAGAAACUUCCACAAUGGGCGAAAGCCUGAUGGAGCGACGUCGCGUGAUGGACGAAGUGCUUCGGCACGUAAACAUCUUUUAUGUGGGAUGAAAUUAUUGACAGUACCACAUGAAUAAGGGGCUCCUAACUCUGUGCCAGCAGGAGCGGUAAUACAGAGGCCCCAAGCGUUAUCCGGAAUCACUGGGCGUAAAGGGUGUCGAGGCGGUUGUAUUAGUCGUUCGUAAAAUCUACGAGCUUAACUUGUAGGCGGCGAACGAAACGGUACGACUUGAGGUUUGGAGAGGUGCGUGGAACUCACGGUGUAGGGGUGAAAUCCGUUGAUAUCGUGGGGAACACCAAAGGCGAAGGCAGCGCACUGGCCAAAAUCUGACGCUCACACACGAAAGCUAGGGUAGCGAGGAGGAUUAGAUACCCCCGUAGUCCCUGAGCGGGCUGGCAAGGCGCAU